AAGUGAAGUUUAUUGUCGACAUGGUAUUUCGGAACCCUUUUUAAAUAAUUUUCUGACUACAUUUGCCUUUAGGAGCUUGUGAUCAUGUGAUUUCUUUGUUUCCCUUCGGCAAUCAGAAAAAUAUUGCUUAGAUUUUGUUUCUGUCUAAAAAAAAUUAAGGCCUUCAUCAAUGAGAAAAUAAACUUUCCCUAAUCUUAAUCUUUUCAUUAUUUUUUUUCUUU
rnacentral:misc_RNA from 1 species